rnacentral:rRNA from 1 species
AAGGUAGGGUCAGCGAUUGGGGUGAAGUCGUAACAAGGUAGCCGUAGGAGAACCUGCGGCUGGAUCACCUCCUUU